rnacentral:lncRNA from 1 species
GAGAAGUAGCUCUGAGGACAUCAAAUAUGUUAAGUCUGCUCUGAUUUAUGGAGACUUUUUACUCCUGCAUUCAAUAACACCCAUGGCAAUUUGGGAGGACAUAAUAAAAUUUGGUAUAAACACGAAGAUUAUCUUCAGCAUUUGCAGCAGAAAUUUUGCACUUACAUUGAUCCUGUCAGCAAAAUAGUGUACAGGCAGCAGCAUGUUAUAAAACAAAGCAGCUCUUGCCAGUUAAUCAAGAUUCUCCAGCUUCUCCUUGUGCCUGGACCUCUGCAGCCUUGCCCAGACAUCCUUGCCUAGGUCCAUCUGGAACUGUAAGUUCCUCUAUGGUUCCAAAUAG